AGACCCGAAACCCGGUGAUCUAGCCAUGGGCAGGUUGAAGGUUGGGUAACACUAACUGGAGGACCGAACCGACUAAUGUUGAAAAAUUAGCGGAUGACCUGUGGCUGGGGGUGAAAGGCCAAUCAAACCGGGAGAUAGCUGGUUCUCCCCGAAAGCUAUUUAGGUAGCGCCUCGUGAAUUCAUCUCCGGGGGUAGAGCACUGUUUCGGCUAGGGGGCCAUCCCGGCUUACCAACCCGAUGCAAACUGCGAAUACCGGAGAAUGUUAUCACGGGAGACACACGGCGGGUGCUAACGUCCGUCGUGAAGAGGGAAACAACCCAGACCGCCAGCUAAGGUCCCAAAGUCAUGGUUAAGUGGGAAACGAUGUGGGAAGGCCCAGACAGCCAGGAUGUUGGCUUAGAAGCAGCCAUCAUUUAAAGAAAGCGUAAUAGCUCACUGGUCGAGUCGGCCUGCGCGGAAGAUGUAACGGGGCUAAACCAUGCACCGAAGCUGCGGCAGCGACGCUGAUGCGUUGUUGGGUAGGGGAGCGUUCUGUAAGCCUGCGAAGGUGACCUGUGAGGGUUGCUGGAGGU
rnacentral:rRNA from 1 species